GAUGAAGAACGUAGUGAAAUGCGAUAAGUAAUGUGAAUUGCAGAAUUCGGUGAAUCAUCGAAUCUUUGAACGCACAUUGCGCCCGCCAGUAUUCUGGCGGGCAUGCCUGUUCGAGCGUCAUUUCAACCCUCAGGCCCCCAGUGCCUGGUGUUGGGGAUCGGCCCAGCCUUCCUGUAAGGCCGCCGGCCCCGAAAUCUAGUGGCGGUCUCGCUGUAGUCCUCCUCUGCGUAGUAGCACAACCUCGCAGUUGGAACGCGGCGGUGGCCAUGCCGUUAAACACCCCACUUCUGAAAGUUGACCUCGGAUCAGGUAGGAAUACCCGCUGAACUUAAGCAUAUCAAUAAGCGGAGGA
rnacentral:misc_RNA from 1 species